rnacentral:rRNA from 1 species
GAUGAACGCUGGCGGCGUGCCUAAUACAUGCAAGUCGAGCGAAUGGAUUAAGAGCUUGCUCUUAUGAAGUUAGCGGCGGACGGGUGAGUAACACGUGGAUAACCUGCCCAUAAGACUGGGAUAACUCCGGGAAACCGGGGCUAAUACCGGAUAACAUUUUGAACCGCAUGGUUCGAAAUUGAAAGGCGGCUUCGGCUGUCACUUAUGGAUGGACGCGCGUCGCAUUAGCUAGUUGGUGAGGUAACGGCUCACCAAGGCAACGAUGCGUAGCCGACCUGAGAGGGUGAUCGGCCACACCGGGACUGAGACACGGCCCAGACUCCUACGGGAGGCAGCAGUAGGGAAUCUUCCGCAAUGGACGAAAGUCUGACGGAGCAACGCCGCGUGAGUGAUGAAGGCUUUCGGGUCGUAAAACUCUGUUGUUAGGGAAGAACAAGUGCUAGUUGAAUAAGCUGGCACCUUGACGGUACCUAACCAGAAAGCCACGGCUAACUACGUGCCAGCCGCCGCGAUAA